GGGAUUGCCUCAGUAACGGCGAGUGAAGCGGCAACAGCUCAAAUUUGAAAUCUGGCUCCUUCGGGGUCCGAAUUGUAAUUUGUAGAGAGUGCUUCGGGCGAGACCUCGGUCUAAGUCCAUUGGAACAUGGUGUCAUAGAGGGUGAGAAUCCCGUAUGGGACCGUGGCUCGAGCCCAUGUGAAGCCUCUUCGACGAGUCGAGUUGUUUGGGAAUGCAGCUCAAAAUGGGUGGUAAAUUUCAUCUAAAGCUAAAUACUGGCUGGAGACCGAUAGCGCACAAGUAGAGUGAUCGAAAGAUGAAAAGCACUUUGGAAAGAGAGUCAAACAGUACGUGAAAUUGUUGAAAGGGAAGCGCUUGCAACCAGACCUGCCCGUAGGCGAUCCGCCGCUGUUCUCAGCGGUGUACUCGCUCUGCGAUCAGGCCAGCAUCGGUUUCGGCGGUCGGAUAAAGGCCUUGGGAAUGUAGCUUCCCUUCGGGGGAGUCUUAUAGCCCUCGGUGCAAUGCGGCCAGCCGGGACCGAGGACCGCGCUUCGGCUAGGAUGCUGGCGUAAUGGUUGUAAGCGACCCGUCUUGAAACACGGACCAAGGAGUCUAACAUCUAUGCGAGUGUUUGGGUGUCAAACCCAUACGCGGAAUGAAAGUGAACGGAGGUGAGAACCCUUAAGGGCGCAUCAUCGACCGAUCCAGAUGUCUUCGGAUGGAUUUGAGUAUGAGCAUAGCUGUUGGGACCCGAAAGAUGGUGAACUAUGCCUGAAUAGGGUGAAGCCAGAGGAAACUCUGGUGGAGGCUCGCAGCGGUUCUGACGUGCAAAUCGAUCGUCAAAUUUGGGUAUAGGGGCGAAAGACUAAUCG
rnacentral:rRNA from 1 species